GACGAACGCUGGCGGCGUGCUUAACACAUGCAAGUCGAACGGAAAGGCCCUGCUUUUGUGGGGUGCUCGAGUGGCGAACGGGUGAGUAACACGUGAGUAACCUGCCCUUGUCUUUGGGAUAACUUCAGGAAACUGGGGCUAAUACCGGAUAGGAGCUCCUGCUGCAUGGUGGGGGUUGGAAAGUUUCGGCGGUUGGGGAUGGACUCGCGGCUUAUCAGCUUGUUGGUGGGGUAGUGGCUUACCAAGGCUUUGACGGGUAGCCGGCCUGAGAGGGUGACCGGCCACAUUGGGACUGAGAGACGGCCCAGACUCGUACGGGAGGCAGCAGGGGGGAAUAUUACGCAAUGGGCGGAAGCCUGAUGCAGCAACGCCGCGUGCGGGAUGACGGCCUUCGGGUUGUAAACCGCUUUCGCCUGUGACGAAGCGUGAGUGACGGUAAUGGGUAAAGAAGCACCGGCUAACUACGUG
rnacentral:rRNA from 1 species